rnacentral:rRNA from 1 species
CAGUCGCCACGGUAAUACGUAGAUGGCAAGCGUUGUCCGGAAUUAUUGGGCGUAAAGGGCUCGCAGGCGGUUUCUUAAGUCUGAUGUGAAAGCCCCCGGCUCAACCGGGGAGGGUCAUUGGAAACUGGGAAACUUGAGUGCAGAAGAGGAGAGUGGAAUUCCACGUGUAGCGGUGAAAUGCGUAGAGAUGUGGAGGAACACCAGUGGCGAAGGCGACUCUCUGGUCUGUAACUGACGCUGAGGAGCGAAAGCGUGGGGAGCGAACAGGAUUAGAUACCCCCGUAGUCCCUGUCUCUUAUAC